rnacentral:rRNA from 1 species
UACGUAGGGUGCAAGCGUUAAUCGGAAUUACUGGGCGUAAAGCGUGCGCAGGCGGUUCGCUAAGACAGAUGUGAAAUCCCCGGGCUUAACCUGGGAACUGCAUUUGUGACUGGCGGGCUAGAGUAUGGCAGAGGGGGGUAGAAUUCCACGUGUAGCAGUGAAAUGCGUAGAGAUGUGGAGGAAUACCGAUGGCGAAGGCAGCCCCCUGGGCCAAUACUGACGCUGAGGAGCGAAAGCAUGGGGAGCGAACAGG